rnacentral:rRNA from 1 species
AUUGAACGCUGGCGGCAGGCCUAACACAUGCAAGUCGAGCGGUAACAGGGAUAGCUUGCUAUCUGCUGACGAGCGGCGGACGGGUGCGUAACACGUAGGAAUCUACCCAGUAGCGGGGGAUAGCCCGGAGAAAUCCGGAUUAAUACCGCAUACGCCCUACGGGGGAAAGCAGGGGAUUCUUUCUUUGGUAGAGAACCUUGCACUAUUGGAUGAGCCUGCGUCGGAUUAGCUAGUUGGUGGGGUAAAGGCCUACCAAGGCAACGAUCCGUAGCUGGUCUGAGAGGAUGAUCAGCCACACUGGGACUGAGACACGGCCCAGACUCCUACGGGAGGCAGCAGUGGGGAAUAUUGCACAAUGGGCGCAAGCCUGAUGCAGCCAUGCCGCGUGUGUG